rnacentral:rRNA from 2 species
UGGGGAAUAUUGGGCAAUGGAGGCAACUCUGACCCAGCAACGCCGCGUGAAGGAAGAAGGUGUUCGGAUUGUAAACUUCUGUCGCGAGGGACGAAGAAUGACGGUACCUCGUAAGAAAGCCCCGGCUAACUACGUGCCAGCAGCCGCGGUAAUACGUAGGGGGCAAGCGUUGUCCGGAAUGACGGGGCGUAAAGGGAGCAUAGGCGGCAAGAUAAGUUAGAUGUGAAAGCCCGCAGCUUAACUGCGGAACUGCAUCUAAAACUGUCUAGCUUGAGUGCAGGAGAGGUAAGUGGAAUUCCUAGUGUAGCGGUGGAAUGCGUAGAUAUUAGGAGGAACACCAGAGGCGAAGGCGACUUACUGGACUGUAACUGACGCUGAGGCUCGAAAGCGUGGGGAGCAAACAGG